rnacentral:lncRNA from 1 species
GUUGGGACAAAAUUGAACAAACAAGAUGAGUUUGGUGCUUUGGAAAGUGUGAAAGCUGCUAGUGAACUCUAUUCUCCUUUAUCAGGAGAAGUAACUGAAAUUAAUGAAGCUCUUGCAGAAAAUCCAGGACUUGUAAACAAAUCUUGUUAUGAAGAUGAUGGAGUUUCGCUCUUCUUGUCCAAGCUGGAGUGCAAUGGCACAAUCUUGGCUCACUGCAACCUCCGCCUCCCGGGUUCAAGUGAUUCUUCUGCCUCAGCCCCCUGAGUAGCUGGGGUUACAGCACAGGAAAAAGAAGAUAAAGUAGGAGAGGGAUCAGUUUCACAUUCAGUCCUAAGCAGCAACACGGUUGAGAUGUAAUCAUAAAAGCAAAUAUUUCACCCAGGACAUGGAAAAGCGGCGGAUCACCAGAAAGCAGAGAGUCAAACGCUGCAAGCAGAAGCAGUAAGAAGACGCCACGUUUGGAGCAAGGUCUUAUUUACACCUGCCAUGGUCAUCGGCUCGCUCUUUUAGGUCUCCCCAACCCGGCCCCCAAAAAGAGGUUAUAUGCAGAGGUAAUAUAAUAUAUGUACUUUUGAAAAUAACAAAGUCACCGUGGAGAUAAUUUCAAAACAAUUUAUUUUCAUUUUCAGAUACAUUGGACUAUUUCACUGAUGUUAAAAAGAGUAUGACUUGUUUAAAUUUUUUGUUGUUUCUUUUUUGCAGCCUAAUGUUCUGUAAUAGUAACUUGCUUCCAAGUAAAGUAUGAAAAGUUAGUGGAGGGGCCAUGGCUGUGGUCUCUGAUAGGUCAAACUAUACUAUUUUGGAAUGCGUGGAGUUAGAACAAAGUUUUUAUUUUGUUAUUAAUUAGUAAAGCAAUAAAUAAAAUUGUCU